GCGCAGGCGGAUUAGAAAGUCUGGUGUUAAAAGCAAUUGCUUAACGAUUGUAUGCAUUGGAAACUUCUAGUCUAGAGUUUGGUAGAGAGUCCUGGAACUCCAUGUGGAGCGGUGRAAUGCGUAGAUAUAUGGAAGAACACCAGAGGCGAAGGCGAGGACUUGGGCCAAUACUGACGCUUAGGCUUGAAAGUGUGGGGAGCAAAUAGGAUUAGAUACCCUAGUAGUCCACACUGUAAACGAUGGAUGUUAAGUGUCGGAGCGAAUACUUCGGUGCUGCAGUUAACACAUUAAACAUCCUGCCUGAGUAGUACAUUCGCAAGAAUGAAACUCAAACGGAAUUGACGGGGACCCGCACAAGUGGUGGAGCAUGUUGCUUAAUUCGACGGUACACGAAAAACCUUACCUAGACUUGACAUCUUGGGCGAAGCUAUAGAAAUAUAGUGGAGGUYAACCCAAUGACAGGUGGUGCAUGGUUGUCGUCAGCUCGUGUCGUGAGAUGUUGGGUUAAGUCCCGCAACGAGCGCAACCCUUAUCGUUAGUUACUUUGUCUAACGAGACUGCCAACGUAAGUUGGAGGAAGGUGGGGAUGACGUCAAAUCAUCAUGCCCCUUAUGUCUAGGGCUGCAAACGUGCUACAAUGGCCAAUACAAACAGUUGCAAAUCCGUAAGGUGGAGCUAAUCUGUAAAGUUGGUCUCAGUUCGGAUUGAGGGCUGCAAUUCGCCCUCAUGAAGUCGGAAUCACUAGUAAUCGCGAAUCAGCCAUGUCGCGGUGAAUACGUUCUCGGGUCUUGUACACACCGCCCGUCAAACUAUGAGAGCUGGUAAUAUCUAAAACCGUGUUGCUAACCGCAAGGAAGCGCAUGUCUAGG
rnacentral:rRNA from 1 species